rnacentral:misc_RNA from 1 species
CCCCCCCCCCAGGAAUGGCCCCGCCGAAGUCGUUACUCCAACCGUUCGCGGAGGAGGAUGCCGAAGGCAGGGCUGAUGACUGGGGUGAAGUCGUAACAAGGUAGCCGUACCGGAAGGUGUGGCUGGAUCACCUCCUUUUAGGGAGACCUACCCGCAUUGUUGCUUGAACGCAAUUUGUUAUUAGAGCCAAUGUUGGUCAUCCCAAGGUCGUUCGAAGGAAUAGUGUUGGCUUUCAAACUAGCUUCGGUUUGGUUCAUGGGCUAUUAGCUCAGGUGGUUAGAGCGCACCCCUGAUAAGGGUGAGGUCCCUGGUUCGAGUCCAGGAUGGCCCACCUUUGAGAGCGGUCAGCCAUCAGUUUGGAGCUUUUUGAUAGAGUUUUGAGCUGAGCGUUGAUAGCUUUUCUGGGGGUUUAGCUCAGUUGGUAGAGCGCCUGCUUUGCAAGCAGGAUGUCAGCGGUUCGAGUCCGCUAACCUCCACUGAGUGAUGAUAAGUUUGAGCCAAUUGACGUGGAAGCGUUCAGCAACUCAUCUAGAGCUUCUAGAGAGCCUGCUGGAUUAGGUUCCAGCCAGAACCUUGAAAACUGCAUAGUACUUGUCAGGUAGAAAGAGCAACCAGUGCUCGACUGUUAAGUGCUGACCGUCAAACGUCAGGCUUAAGGGUGAGCGGCUGUGUUGUGAAGUCACAGACACCAAUGAAAUUGUCAGUGGUCAAGCUACAAAGGGCUGA